rnacentral:rRNA from 1 species
GAUGAACGCUGGCGGCGUGCCUAAUACAUGCCAGUCGAGCGAACAGACGAGGAGCUUGCUCCUCUGACGUUAGCGGCGGACGGGUGAGUAACACGUGGAUAACCUACCUAUAAGACUGGGAUAACUUCGGGAAACCGGAGCUAAUACCGGAUAAUAUAUUGAACCGCAUGGUUCAAUAGUGAAAGACGGUUUUGCUGUCACUUAUAGAUGGAUCCGCGCCGCAUUAGCUAGUUGGUAAGGUAACGGCUUACCAAGGCAACGAUGCGUAGCCGACCUGAGAGGGUGAUCGGCCACACUGGAGCUGAGACACGGUCCAGACUCCUACGGGAGGCAGCAGUAGGGAAUCUUCCGCAAUGGGCGAAAGCCUGACGGAGCAACGCCGCGUGAGUGAUGAAGGUCUUCGGAUCGUAAAACUCUGUUAUUAGGGAAGAACAAAUGUGCAAGUAACUAUGCACGUCUUGACGGUACCUAAUCAGAAAGCCACGGCUAACUACGUG